AUCAGUAUCAUUAUUAAGAAAUGAAUGUCACACCACUCACCAAUAUAUUUCGUGAUCCACAAACAAAUGUAAUAACAUUCGCAAAUAUAAUUCAUACAUUUCAUGAUCCACAAACAAAUGUAACAACAUUCACAAAUAUAAUUCAUGAUGCACAAAUGAAUGUAACCCCAUUCACAAAUGCCAGCGCAGUUCUAUUAAUUUGCAAACCGGUCUACAUAUAUUCGCAAGCCCUAUACAUAUUUGUGACUUCCAUUGUAUUUGUGUGUGGAUUUUUGAGACUGUCCUGACGGUAUUUGACACACAAAUGUGCUCAGCCAAUCACAUCAGCCGGCGUUCGAGCGUAAGGUUGAAGACAUUGCGCUUCUAUUACGCAGAGCAGGCUACUAGUGCGAAGCCACCAUAGAUCUGUAUAAAUAACUGGAAGUAGAGCCAUUACUGAAGUGCUCCCUGACGUAAACUCGGAAGCGUAUGAAGUUACUGACUUUCACAUCAUCUUUGUACAAAUAUGUCUGGAUCUGGACUAACGUGUGCCGUAAUCGGAUGUAACAAUAACAGCAGAAAGCUAAAAAUGUGGAAAAAGAGCGUAUGUGCGCUUCAUAGUCCACAGUUUAAAGAGGAUUGUCCAUGUUGUGUGCCCUACGGUGUACACCGCUUCCCCGGCCGUGCUGAGGAUGAAGACAUUCGCAAGAUGUGGAUUAAAAACGUACACCGAAAGGACUUUGCCCCCAAACAAGUAUUCAAGGGUGUGUGGAGUACACUUCCCUGACGGCAGACCAACGCAGGAACACCCAUAUCCCAUAAUAUGGGAUAUGAAUAUAGUAAAGCACCGUCAUGUGGAAGACCACCCCAAAGAGGAGAUGUCUCCAGCCCCCAACAGAGAGACCAUGUGAUGAGCCUCCUGUGACAGAUUCUGACACCGAAGUAGGGCAUAGCUUGGAGGAUAGUCUGUCUCCACACCAAUGUGAUGUUGGCACUCAGUGGCCAGAGCGUAGUGAUCAUGAUUGUUGUUCGAUGAAGUCAACAAAAGAUGCAAGCACACAAACCGAUCCUACACCAUCACUGUCAGAUCAUGACAUGGAUGAUAAAGUGUCAAAACUUUACACUGGACUAGACAUCAUCAGCUUUUGGCAACUUUUGAACACCAUCAUUGGCUUUCUUCCACAGUCGAAGACGUUCAAAUUACCAGUCCAUGAACAGCUAAGUGCUGGUCCUAAUGAGG